AACGAACGCUGGCGGCAGGCCUAACACAUGCAAGUCGAGCGCCCCGCAAGGGGAGCGGCGGCUGGGUGAGUAACGCGUGGGAAUAUGCUCUUUCCUACGUAAUAUUCCCGUGAAACUGGGGGUAAUACCGUAUACGCCCUUUGGUGGAAAGUUUUAUCUUCGAAGGAUUAGCCCGCGUUGGAUUGGGUAGUUUGUGGGGUAAUGGCCUACCAUGCCGACGAUGCAUAGCUGGUUUGAGAGUAUGAUCAGACACACUGGGCCUGAGACACAGCCCAGAAUCCUACGGGAGGCAGGAGUGGGGGAUCGUAGACAAUGGGGGCAACGCUGAUCGAGCCAUGCCGCGAGAGUGAUGAAGGCCUUAGGGUUGAAAAGCGCUUUCAGCUGGGAGGAUAAUGACGGUACCAGAAGAAGAAGCCCCGGCUAACUCCGUG
rnacentral:rRNA from 1 species